rnacentral:rRNA from 1 species
UUCGCAAUGCCCGAAAGGGUGACGAUGCGACGCCGCGUGAGCGAAGAAGGCCCUAGGGUUGUAAAGCUCUGUCGAGGGUUAUGAAAUAUAGAUGGGUUAAUACCCCAUUUAUUUGACAAAAGCCCAAAAGGAAGCCACGGCUAACUCUGUGCCAGCAGCCGCGGUAAUACAGAGGUGGCGAGCGUUGUUCGGUAUUAUUGGGCGUAAAGAGCACGUAGGUGGUUUUGUAAGUCAGGUGUGAAAGCCUUCUGUUCAAAGGAAGAACGGCAUCUGAAACUGCAGAUCUUGAGUGUAGGAGGGGGGAGUGGAACUUCUGGUGGAGCGGUGAAAUGCGUAGAUAUCAGAAGGAACGUCGGCGGCGAAAGCGACUCUCUGGCCUAUUACUGACACUGAGUGUGCGAAAGUUAGGGGAGCAAACGGGAUUAGAUACCCCGGUAGUCCUAACCGUAAACGAUGGGCACUAAGUAGAGGGGUUUU